rnacentral:sRNA from 1 species
AUGAGCCAGAAGACAAAUGAGAAUGUAGAAAGGUAUACCCAAUUCCUUCAAAAGCCCCAGAAACCCAUUCAGCCUUACAUCUGCUCUAUUCUGAAUGAUUUUCAAGAAGAGAGAGACAUUUUGGCAAACAACAUCUUCCCUCAGCUUAAUGAACUCUGCAAUUCCCGGGGCACAUAUUUCAAAGCCGUGGACCUGAGUUGGUCAGCAUUAAAGGCCCUGAAAUCCUUACCCACCCACCUGUUUAGACAGUAUUCUUGUCUUCACUCCCAACGUCUGAAGCUCUGCCUUGACUAUGUGAACAGCUGCUUUCCCUUUUUCAUCUGCAUGCUGGGUCAGACGUAUGGAGACUUCCUCCCUGACUACUCACAUUUCAUGACCUCCAAAGUGACUCGCUUGUCAAGCUUAUCCAAAGUAGAACAGAAUCUCUAUGUUGCUGCCAAAAACGGUUAUCCUUGGGUUCUGGAGAACCCCAACUGCAGUCUGACGGAGUUUGAGCUAAUCCAAGCAGCAUUUCUGAAUGAAUCUCAAUUUCAGUAUUUUUACUUUAGGACUGGAACCACACUGCUGAAGGCUUUAGAUGAUGAGGAAAGGGGAGAGAGGCUACCCUGAAGUUCUUCAACAAACGAAGAGGAAACAUUGAGGAUUGGAAAGCUUAAGGCCAAGAUUAUUAGUAAAGGGCUCCCUGUGAGAUUUUAUAGUGAUCUCCACGAGUUGGGUGAGCUGGUUUUCAAGGACUGGUCAGUUGUGAUAGAAAAACUUCAUCCAGCCACUUUAAUGAUUGAAAAUAUAGACUACAAGCACAGCUUUGAACGUUUCUGUCACGAAGAGUUUACUGAGAAGUGAAAGCAAAUGUUUGUUAUUUCCAAGGAGUCAGAUAGGACCUUUGAAAUCUUGGAAAAAUUUGCCUUAAAGGAUGUGGAACUUGAUUUUAACAAUGUGGCAGCAAAUUCCAGUUUAGAUUCUGUCCCCAGAAUAAAUCCUACUCCAGCUUACAAGUCUAUUUUGCUCUUGUCUGGAGAACACGGUUGUGGGAAGUCCACUCUGAUUGCCAACUGGGUUAAUUACUUCAAAAAGAAACAUCCGAGCAUGUUGUUGAUUCCUCAUUUUGUGGGCAGCACCUGUGAAAGCAGCUACAUCAUGUCUGUGAUCCAUGACUUCAUCACGGAAUUACAGUACAGAAACUACGGUGAGAGACUUGAAACAGAUAUUCUUAACGAAGACUCAGAUGGCUUGGUCUUUUCACUUCUUGUGGAAGUAUUCAUUGCUUCCAUCAGUUUAAAGCCAUACAUACUUGUACUAGAUGGAAUUGAAGAACUGAUUGGCAUUUAUGGGAUUUCAGGUCAGAAGGUGAAAGAUUUUUCCUGGCUGCCACACUCACUCUCCCCUCAUUGCAAAUUUAUCAUGAGCACUGUCUCUUCCAGCCUGUCCUACAAGUCGUUGUGUGCCCGCCCGGAUGUGAGGACAGUGGAACUCAUUAGCACAGGAGAUGAAGAAACAAAAUUAAACAUCUUUAGAAAGCAUCUCUCCAUUCCCAUGAUGGACCCCUUCCAACAGAGCACACAGGCGUUGAGUAAAAAACCAGACCUGAGUCCUUUAAAACUCACAAUCCUAGCCAAUGAAUUGAAAGAAUGUAGAAUCAACCACAAUGAGUUUCAGUGUAUGAAGGAAUACUUGGAGGCUGUCUCUGUUCAGGAGCUCUGGGAAUUGGUUCUCAAACGCUGGAUUGAAGACUACAGUUGGAUGUUUCAACCCAAAAGGGCAAAUUCAGACACUGUGGCUUCAGGAGAAGGUAGCUGGGUGGCCGACGCUCUGUGCUUACUGUGCCUGUCGCAUGGUGGCUUGGCUGAGGAUGAGCUACUCCAGCUUUUGGACAUGCUGGGCUACAGGAAUCAUUACAAAGUGACCGCCUUGCACUGGGCUGCCUUCCGCAAUGCCACCAAACAGUGGGUCCAGGAGAAGCCCAAUGGCCUCCUGUAUUUCUGGCACCAGUCCCUGCGAAGUGCAGUGGAGCACAAGCUUCUUGGUGUAAUCACUCCUGUCAGAGAAAGCAGUCCAUGUUCAUUUCAGAGCCCAAUGAACCACAAGAAAACACAUUUUCACCAAGUGUUGAUCAGAUACUUCCAACGGCAAACCUCUUUCUGGACAGUGUAUCAAGAAUUACCAUGGCAUAUGAAAAUGAGUGGAUGCUUGCGGGGGUUGUGCGGCUUUCUCUCAAGCCCUAGGUAAGUCUUGCUUAUCACAGACUUUAUAUCAAAAAUCCAAAGCCUGGGCUUCUGGACAAGGCUGCACCUCAUUCACUUCUGGAAUGUAUUAUUGGAGGCCGGCUAUGAUGUCUCUGAGGCCUAUUUACUUUCAGUGGCCAAGAUUAAAGCAGAUCAGUGCCAUACAAUGAGGAAGAGCGGUACACUCUCAGUGCUGCAAUGCAGGCUUAUUGAACUUACUGUCCUUGACAAGUGUCGUUUAAUGUUCUUUAUUGGGAGUUUUUUGAAGUUUAUGGGCAAGACCAAUGAAGCAGAAGAGUUGUUCUUGAGUGUUGAGGACAUGUUAGUACAGAGCCAGUCCAUGACAGACAUGCUUCUCAAAGUACAGAAUGCUAUUGGAGAACUGUAUCUUGAAACUGGAAUGACUCAGGAAGAGUUCCAGUAUUUCCAGAAAGCAUGGUCAAGCAUGCUGCGUCUUUCACUCAGUGACUUAGAAGACAGCCGGGACUUGGUGAAGCAGAAAGUCAGAGUUUUGAACAAAUCUGGCAAAGUCAGCAUCUGAAGAAUACUUAAAAGAAAACCACAUUUUGGAAUAUGCAACUGAAAUUUCCAACUUACUGGAUAAUAAUCCCCGUGAUCAAGCUACCAUGAAAUACAUCGAAGGUGUUCUAAUGUUCGUUGCUGGAAAUACCUCUCUUGCAAAAAUGAAACUUCGAGAGUGCUUAAAUAUCAGGAAAAGCUUGUUUGGCCAGAAAAACAUGCUGGUUGGAGAAGUUAUGGAAUUUUUAGCGGAUUUGCUAUUUUUUUCCCCAGAGAGAUAGUAAAAAAUUCCAAAGGAAGCAAGUACUUAAAUAUUAUAAACAAGUGAUAAAAAUAAAGGAAAAUGCAGAAACUCUGGCCAAGUCCUCACUCCUCAGGAAGCAACUGAGCAUCAGCCUCAGCGAUACGUUGUGUAAAUUAGCAGGUCAUUUAUUGGCAAGUGACUCUUGUCAUCACGUCAUGAUUGAGGCAGUAGGCUAUUUGUACAGAUCACUUGAUUUAAGGGUGAUCCACCUGGGAUCUUCUCAUUCAUCAAUCCAUGGAAUCCUGCACCUUCUGAGAGAAAUUGAGUGGAUCCGGAGCCGGAGAUGUUGGCCUCAAGGUAUGAGCCAGCAACAUUCUGAGGGUUCUAGGAAUGGCUUCUCAUUAUGGAAGCACUUGGUUAAAUUAAACUACCACAGUGCUCAGAGUUCUAAUACAGUGAGCUCUGCAAUGUGCAUGAAUGCAGAUAAAUUACACAGGGCUAGAAGAAUGGACUUGGCACCUCAGACAAUUUCAGAUAAAUCAAAAUGUGCUCCUGGAAAAGGGAAAAAGAAACCCAUUAUUUGCAUAUCUGCCGAGGAAAAGAUACAACGGAAGACACAAAAUAAUGCUGAAAUAUGGAAUGGCUCAGGAAAGGAAGCCUCAAAGAAAAAGACAGACUAUUCCUCUAACAUUUUAUCUUUGGGUAAAAUGAAUGGUUUAAUAAAGCUUUCAAGGCAAAGAAUUUUGUUAGCUAAAAGCGAGAGUGGAGAAGGCGAAAUCACCACCAUUUACCACCAUCCCCUGCCAUGGCCUGUUAGCACAAAAAACCCUGGGGAAUCUGAGUUCAUAUCAGAAAAGUGGCUUUUUCAUAGCCCAGAUUAUAUUUCAAUAUCUCAGAAGUCUUUUUUGCAGAGAAGACUUCACAUUGAAACAAAACUGUUGAAGACCUCAAAUGAUAUUAAUAAAGAAUAA